rnacentral:rRNA from 1 species
GAUGAACGCUGGCGGCGUGCCUAAUACAUGCAAGUCGAGCGAACAGACGAGGAGCUUGCUCCUCUGACGUUAGCGGCGGACGGGUGAGUAACACGUGGAUAACCUACCUAUAAGACUGGGAUAACUUCGGGAAACCGGAGCUAAUACCGGAUAACAUCUUGAACCGCAUGGUUCAACAGUGAAAGACGGUCUUGCUGUCACUUAUAGAUGGAUCCGCGCCGCAUUAGCUAGUUGGUAAGGUAACGGCUUACCAAGGCAACGAUGCGUAGCCGACCUGAGAGGGUGAUCGGCCACACUGGAACUGAGACACGGUCCAGACUCCUACGGGAGGCAGCAGUAGGGAAUCUUCCGCAAUGGGCGAAAGCCUGACGGAGCAACGCCGCGUGAGUGAAGAAGGUCUUCGGAUCGUAAAACUCUGUUAUUAGGGAAGAACAAAUGUGUAAGUAACUAUGCACGUCUUGACGGUACCUAAUCAGAAAGCCACGGCUAACUACGUG